AAGUUUUCGAACUCAACUAGAAGCAAACUGACACUUUCUUAAAGAUCCAAAAGACAAGAAUCCACUUCUGUCAUUUUAAUUCAAGCAGAAAAGUCAUCAUAGGAGAAAGAGCUAAGGAGUUUCUCCCACUAUUGUGGUUCAGUGCAAAUUGCAGCCUCUUGAACCUCAUUUUCUUGGGUUGGUUUGCUUGCUUGCUAAGCAAUUACCACCAAUGACAAGUUCACUUGCUAUUUAGCCUGCAGGCACCAUAAUAACGAUGUGGAGACUCUGAAAACAUGCUGCAAGAAACUUUUAUAAACAUCACUUACUGCUGACUUGAAGAUAAACUUGCUUGACAGCUAAACUUUCUUCAUGUGCAAGUUAUACCAAAUGUAACAUGAUUUAUUAAAACAUCACUUAUUUAA